UACGUAGGGUGCAAGCGUUGUCCGGAAUUAUUGGGCGUAAAGAGCUCGUAGGCGGCUUGUCACGUCGACUGUGAAAACCCGGGGCUCAACUCCGGGCCUGCAGUCGAUACGGGCUGGCUUGAGUGCGGUAGGGGAGACUGGAAUUCCUGGUGUAGCGGCGAAAUGCGCAGAUAUCAGGAGGAACACCGGUGGCGAAGGCGGGUCUCUGGGCCGAAACUGACGCUGAGGAGCGAAAGCGUGGGGAGCGAACAGG
rnacentral:rRNA from 1 species